UUGACUUCAAAUAGUUGACUUGCUCUUUCUUCACAGUUUCCCUUUCUUCUCCCUCUACCUCUCUUUUUGAAGCUAGGGUUUCGCGAACAUCUUUUUGUAAUCGUCAUUUGCAGCUGAGUAAUAAUGGAUGCCCUAGACUCCGUCAUCGAUCCGUUGAGAGAAUUCGCCAAGGACAGCACCCGCCUCGUCAAGCGCUGCCACAAGCCCGAUCAAAAAGAAUUCACCAAGGUCGCGUUCCGUGUUGCGAUCGGCUUCGUCGUGAUGGGGUUCGUCGGUUUUUUCGUGAAGCUAAUUUUCAUCCCCAUCAAUAACAUCAUUGUUGGUUCCGUAUAAGGUUUAUAACUGCACCCUGACUCCAUCUUUGGUAUGUUUUGUCCAUAUAAGGCGUGCUGUGGACCUUGAUUUGGAAACGAUUCAAACGGUUCGGAUGCAAAGUGGUCAAGGAAAACUUUCAGCCGUGGUUUUUAGGCUCCUCUUUUCUUUUCUUUUCUUUUCUUUUUUUUUUUUUCCCUUCCAAAAUGUAUUCCAUUCCAUACUCCUGAGUACAUUUUGACAGAAUCUGGUGUUUCCUUCAAUUUUGUCUCAAUUUCAUUCCUUCUGCCCUUGCAGUAUUA